rnacentral:rRNA from 1 species
AUGACCAUCCAAUGUUUGCUGUGGGUGGUCGCUUUCAUCGUUGGAGUGAGCAGCUUGGCCUGGUACCAUGCGCAGCAGUCCCACGGGAUCUACCAUCGCCUUCAUUGCUGCCAAAGCCGGUGUAGUGUGCCGAAGAUGUCAAUGGUGGCGACACAAAUGAUUGACGACUUCCCCACAUAUUAUGGUUCAGGGUUGUGGUAUAUGAAUCAUUACUGGAUGAGGAAAGGAGUGGGGGAGGAUCUGCAGCAUUGUACGAUGGAUUUAUAUGGCUGCCUCACUAGGAUGCUAGUGCCUGCAUACGAGCUGAUGUUCGGGAAGCCAUCCCUCCACAGACUCUUUGAGGGCUACUUCAAUCAAGCCGGGAGGGGGAACACAAGGGGUCAUUUUGAAGAUGCUGCAAGAUCCUCAUCGAUACAAAGAAAGAAACUCAACGGUAUUCGUCAAAGAGGCGAGCACCUGGAGCUUUCUUGGUUGCGACUGACCCUCCCCCGUGCUAUAGUGACAGGAGAGGCGAAAAGGAGGUUCCCCUCGAUCCCUCGCUCCGCCGACGGCUGGAUCGACGGUUCCCUCCCUCUCUGGCCGCUACUUCAGCGACAGGGGAGUGGGGGGACCUCAGAUCUGUGCUUGAAGCGUGUAGAUAGUAGGGUAGUUGUCUCCGGCGGCGUUGGCUGUUUUUUAUAUGAAUCUUUGAAAAGAGCAUUAGCGGAGACGUGGGUUGCACGCGCAAACUUACUAGUCUUCGUUAACGCUAAUAUGCACGAUCCACUUCGCCAACUGCCCGCCCACCCGCACCACAGUUUCCCCGCCUCCGCUCGCUGCCCCGCCUCCGCCGCUCGCCCCGCCCGCCGCCUCCCCUUCACGCCGCCCCCGCUCAGCCCAGCCUCCGCCCGCUCGCCUCCCUCCCCGCCCCCUCGCAGCCUCGCCGGAUCUCCCCGCCGCCUCGCCGGAUCUCCCCGCUUCCCCAUACAUCGCCCUCACCGCACCGGCGCGCUCCUCACUUCCCCGAGCAGGCGACCCAGGCUGCCUCUGCCAUUGGAACCACCACCUCAUCCUUAUGCGAGCCGUCGUCGGAGCCAUGACUGUGGGCCGACUUUUGCCGCCGUUGCCGCCGCUGGGAUCAUCCUACUUGUCCCUCCACGCGCCACCAAUACAAGCUGCGGAACCGCUGCCGGCACAGCCCUCAGCCGCAUGAAGGAAUAG